UACGAAGGGGGCUAGCGUUGCUCGGAAUCACUGGGCGUAAAGCGCACGUAGGCGGAUUGCUAAGUCAGGGGUGAAAUCCUGGAGCUCAACUCCAGAACUGCCUUUGAUACUGGCGACCUUGAGUCCGGGAGAGGUGAGUGGAGCUGCGAGUGUAGAGGUGAAAUUCGUAGAUAUUCGCAAGAACACCAGUGGCGAAGGCGGCUCAUUGGCCCGGUACUGACGCUGAGGUGCGAAAGCGUGGGGAGCAAACAGG
rnacentral:rRNA from 1 species